rnacentral:rRNA from 1 species
UGGGGAAUUUUGGACAAUGGGCGAAAGCCUGAUCCAGCAAUGCCGCGUGUGUGAAGAAGGCCUUCGGGUUGUAAAGCACUUUUGCCCGGAAAGAAAUGGCUCUGGUUAAUACCUGGGGUCGAUGACGGUACCGGAAGAAUAAGGACCGGCUAACUACGUGCCAGCAGCCGCGGUAAUACGUAGGGUCCAAGCGUUAAUCGGAAUUACUGGGCGUAAAGCGUGCGCAGGCGGUUGUGCAAGACCGAUGUGAAAUCCCCGAGCUUAACUUGGGAAUUGCAUUGGUGACUGCACGGCUAGAGUGUGUCAGAGGGGGGUAGAAUUCCACGUGUAGCAGUGAAAUGCGUAGAGAUGUGGAGGAAUACCGAUGGCGAAGGCAGCCCCCUGGGAUAACACUGACGCUCAUGCACGAAAGCGUGGGGAGCAAACAGG